rnacentral:rRNA from 1 species
GGCGCAGGCGGGAAAGUAAGUCAGACGUGAAAUUCCGGGGCUCAACCUCGGAGCUGCAUUUGAAACUACUUUUCUUGAGGAUAGGCGGAGAAAACGGAAUUCCACAAGUAGCGGUGAAAUGCGUAGAUAUGUGGAAGAACACCCGUGGCGAAGGCGGUUUUCUAGCUUAUUCCUGGCGCUGAGGCCCGAAAGCUAGGGGAGCGAACA